UGAAGAUUAAAAUUUAAGAAAGUUGAGUUCCCAGUUGUUGAAAUGUAAAGCUUUUCAUUAUUUCCUGCAGGUUCACCUUCCUUCCUGUACAGUAUUUUCAAACUUCCCUGUCUUUAAGCAGAAUAAUAUUUCUCUUGUGCAUACCAUGGAUUUUUCUCCAAGAAGUGGAUAUGUUGCUUUGGGGAAUGAAAAGGGCAGGGCCCUACUGUAUAGGUUGCACCAUUACUCAGACUUCUAAAGAGAUCAUUUGAAAUUCAGUUGAGUCACAAGAGAAGCCCAUCCUGAUAGAUCUGAGAAGCUUUCCAGAAUGUGUGAUAAUGUACGGAUCGUGAUUUUUUUGAGCC